rnacentral:rRNA from 1 species
UACAGAGGUGGCGAGCGUUGUCCGGAUUUACUGGGCGUAAAGAGCGCGCAGGCGGUCGUUCAAGUCGCGUGUGAAAGCCCCCGGCCCAACUGGGGAGGGUCACGCGAUACUGAUCGACUCGAAGGCAGGAGAGGGAAGUGGAAUUCCCGGUGUAGUGGUGAAAUGCGUAGAUAUCGGGAGGAACACCAGUGGCGAAGGCGGCUUCCUGGUCCAGCAUCGACGUUCAGGCACGAAAGCGUGGGGAGCAAACAGG